rnacentral:rRNA from 1 species
GGGUUGUGAGGUUAAGCGACUAAGCGUACACGGUGGAUGCCCUGGCAGUCAGAGGCGAUGAAGGACGUGCUAAUCUGCGAUAAGCGUCGGUAAGGUGAUAUGAACCGUUAUAACCGGCGAUUUCCGAAUGGGGAAACCCAGUGUGAUUCGUCACACUAUCAUUAACUGAAUCCAUAGGUUAAUGAGGCGAACCGGGGGAACUGAAACAUCUAAGUACCCCGAGGAAAAGAAAUCAACCGAGAUUCCCCCAGUAGCGGCGAGCGAACGGGGAGCAGCCCAGAGCCUGAAUCAGUGUGUGUGUUAGUGGAAGCGUCUGGAAAGGCGCGCGAUACAGGGUGACAGCCCCGUACACAAAAAUGCACAUGCUGUGAGCUCGAUGAGUAGGGCGGGACACGUGGUAUCCUGUCUGAAUAUGGGGGGACCAUCCUCCAAGGCUAAAUACUCCUGACUGACCGAUAGUGAACCAGUACCGUGAGGGAAAGGCGAAAAGAACCCCGGCGAGGGGAGUGAAAAAGAACCUGAAACCGUGUACGUACAAGCAGUGGGAGCCUCUCUUUAUGGGGGGUGACUGCGUACCUUUUGUAUAAUGGGUCAGCGACUUAUAUUCUGUAGCAAGGUUAACCGAAUAGGGGAGCCGAAGGGAAACCGAGUCUUAACUGGGCGUUAAGUUGCAGGGUAUAGACCCGAAACCCGGUGAUCUAGCCAUGGGCAGGUUGAAGGUUGGGUAACACUAACUGGAGGACCGAACCGACUAAUGUUGAAAAAUUAGCGGAUGACUUGUGGCUGGGGGUGAAAGGCCAAUCAAACCGGGAGAUAGCUGGUUCUCCCCGAAAGCUAUUUAGGUAGCGCCUCGUGAAUUCAUCUCCGGGGGUAGAGCACUGUUUCGGCAAGGGGGUCAUCCCGACUUACCAACCCGAUGCAAACUGCGAAUACCGGAGAAUGUUAUCACGGGAGACACACGGCGGGUGCUAACGUCCGUCGUGAAGAGGGAAACAACCCAGACCGCCAGCUAAGGUCCCAAAGUCAUGGUUAAGUGGGAAACGAUGUGGGAAGGCCCAGACAGCCAGGAUGUUGGCUUAGAAGCAGCCAUCAUUUAAAGAAAGCGUAAUAGCUCACUGGUCGAGUCGGCCUGCGCGGAAGAUGUAACGGGGCUAAACCAUGCACCGAAGCUGCGGCAGCGACGCUUAUG